rnacentral:rRNA from 1 species
AUGCAAGUCGAACGGUAACAGCAGUGCUUGCACUGGCUGACGAGUGGCGAACGGGUGAGUAAUGUAUAGUUAAUUUGCCUCUUGGAGAGGGAUAGCCAUUGGAAACGAUGAUUAAUACCUCAUACUCCUUACAUAGUAAAUAUGUAAGGGAAAUGCUUUUGUGCCAAGAGAUAAGACAAUAUCCUAUCAGCUAGUUGGUGGUGUAACGGACCACCAAGGCGAUGACGGGUAGCUGGUUUGAGAGGAUGAUCAGCCACACUGGAACUGAGACACGGUCCAGACUCCUACGGGAGGCAGCAGUGGGGAAUACUGCACAAUGGAGGAAACUCUGAUGCAGCAACGCCGCGUGGAGGAUGACGCAUUUCGGUGUGUAAACUCCUUUUAUAUAGGAAGAUAAUGACGGUACUAUAUGAAUAAGCACCGGCUAACUCCGUGCCAGCAGCCGCGGUAAUACGGAGGGUGCAAGCGUUACUCGGAAUCACUGGGCGUAAAGCGCAUGCAGGCGGUCCAAUAAGUUAGAAGUGAAAUCCUAUGGCUCAACCAUAGAACUGCUUCUAAAACUAUUAGACUAGAGUCUGGGAGGGGAAGAUGGAAUUAGUAGUGUAGGGGUAAAAUCCGUAGAGAUUACUAGGAAUACCAAAAGCGAAGGCGAUCUUCUGGAACAGUACUGACGCUGAGAUGCGAAAGCGUGGGGAGCAAACAGGAUUAGAUACCCUGGUAGUCCACGCAGUAAACGAUGAAUGUUAGUCGUUGGGUCUCUAGUAGAUUCAGUGAUGCAGUUAACACAUUAAACAUUCCGCCUGGGGAGUACGGUCGCAAGAUUAAAACUCAAAGGAAUAGACGGGGACCCGCACAAGUGGUGGAGCAUGUGGGUUUAAUUCGAAGAUACGCGGAAGAACCUUUACCCUAGCCUUGACAUUGAGAGAAUUCCGACAGAGAUGUUGGAGUGCCUUUCGGGAGCUUGAAAAACAGGUGCUGGCACGCCUGUCGGUCAGCUCGUGUCGUGAGAUGGUGGAUUUAAGGUUCCGCACC